UAUUAAAAAUUUUAUUCAUUUGUACCUUUAAGAUUUGGUCUAGUAAAUAGAAUAAUCAGAUAAUGACGUAUAUCUAAUACUGACGCAUAGAGACUAAUUUUUAAUAAUAGAAAUUGAUGAAAAUUUUGACA
rnacentral:pre_miRNA from 1 species